rnacentral:misc_RNA from 1 species
GCAAACUUGGUCAUUUAGAGGAAGUAAAAGUCGUAACAAGGUUUCCGUAGGUGAACCUGCGGAAGGAUCAUUACUGAGUUAUAUGUGGGUUUGAUGCUGGCCUUUCGAGGCAUGUGCUCGCCCCGCUCAAUCCACUUCUACACCUGUGCACCUUUGAAAGAUGAGCAGUUUUGGUCUUGAAUGCUUUCCCAGCCUGUUGGCAGGAGCAGGGCUCCCUAUAUGCGCGCAUAUAGGUUGAACCCCGAAAGUAUUGAUGGCCUAUUCUGUCUCUCUUUCACUCUUAUACACACCAUAAAGUCUAGUGAAUGUAACUGCCUAUGGGCAAUAAAUAUAAUACAACUUUCAACAACGGAUCUCUUGGCUCUCGCAUCGAUGAAGAACGCAGC